UGUUUUAUGUUAUAAUAGAGGCGAUAGUAAAGUUUAAUGACGGUGGCUAUCCAAUCCGAAAGUGAGGUGGUGCGUAUGUGCGUACUUCCAAAAUCCAAAGAAAGGGGAAGCCUUUUGUCUGCAUUAGAAACAAUUCAGCUGAUAUUAAGCUUUGGUAUGUUUACCAUCGCAUUGAUUAAGU
rfam:Mycobacterium abscessus strain PAP053 genome assembly, contig: ERS075544SCcontig000083